GUCAGGUGCAGGCCCUCAGGGUGGGGUCUAGGGGCACUAAACCCAGGCUGCUUCCACUGCUGGCUGCUUCAAGGGCUGGUGUUGCUAGGGGUGUGGCCCUGUCUUUAAAAUGCCUGUUAAGACAUAGAUUACCUGGGCAGAGCCUUUGAGAUGAGUUUUUAAAUUUAGUGGAGUGCCUCAUCUGAGACCUUCAGGCAAGAGUGGAGCACAGAGGAAAGGGGGUAUGUGGCAUGGCAUUCUGCGUGUGGGGGUGGGGAGGGGGAGAGAGAAAUGCAGAGAGAGAAGGCACCAGCCACAAGGCUUGUCGAUGAGAGGUGGCCUGAAGACCCUGGGCCCCUCAGGGCUGGCACUCCUGCAGCUCUUGUUGUCUCUGCCCUGCCACAGAGCACAUAUGCUCACACCUACAACUUCUCCAUUCUGACAUCAGCAAAGGGACAGCAAGUUUUAUGCUUCAGGUUGUUUUCUUGCCUCCAGUCCUGAAAAGCAAACCUGUAGGUGCUGGACCCACAGAGCACCUCUGAGCCAUCCUGUCUGCACCUCCAGGUGCCUGCAUGUCCCCGCAGGCCCAGGACUCCUCUGUGCUGGCUGGGCAACUCUUGCUCACUUCCGUUUCUCACAGCCUCCUCUUCCCCCUUUCUCCCGUCUUUGUCAUUUUUAAUCGUCUCACUUUCCUGUCCACCUUCUCACAGUGUCUUUCUCAAGAGAGAAGCAAACUGCGGGUCAAAGUGCACCACCAGCCACCAACAGCUAGCUUCCGGAUCAAGUAGGAUGGAAAUGGUUUAUUCCUCCAAAGACUCUUAAAAGAGCAGCCCCUGCUGCAGAAUAGAAAGAGGCUCCAGAGGAGCAGUGAGCUCGAGGAACCCCCCUGAAGAUCCCCAGUUUCUGUAUGCAGCUGCAUCAGGCCCAGACAAAUUCUUCCAUCUGGAGCGUGUCCCCGCAGAUCUUCCCAGCCGCGGCUGUGGUCCGCGUUAUCUCAGGCUGUCAGGUCUCAGAAAUUAGAAACCAUCUCAUUUCAUCAGGGUCAUCCCACACCGUCUGCCACCAUAGAUGGAGAGGAUUUCAAGUGAUGUUUUCUGAAGAUGGUUCUGUUGUCCCGGGAGAGCCCUUGGCGGACAUGGUAGUGCCAGUCAGAGCCCUUGACGCUGUGCAGCCAGGUGGCUUAUUGUCCCAGUGACUUUCCAACCAGAUACUCUCAGUCAGAGUGAAGGGCUCCACUUAGAAACUCCCUUUCCCAUUAACUCGUCAGAGUUAUGCCAUUCCUCUUUAUUCUUUUUAAAAUAUUUAUACUCAAAGAAAUUGUAUGGGGAGUGAGCACACACCAAUCAUAUAACUGUCAAAUGAAAGCCUUUCCUUAAAUGUUCAAGGGCGCCGGAGGAAUAAAUUUGGAGUCAUGCAGAUCUUGUUUCACGAGUGUGUACAUGUGUAUGAAACUUUAUGUGGGUGGAAAACCAACAAGAGAAAAAAGAGAGCAGAAACUGUUGUGUGAUUGCGUUUUCCUGCCCGAGACAUCCUGUGCUCUGCAUCUGAUAACCUGCCACCAACAGGGCUCCACCACAUUGCCCAGGCUGGUCUCAAAGUCCUAGGCUCAUGCGAUCCUCCCACCUCAACCUCCCAAAGUGCUGGAACUACAGGUGUCAGCCACAGCCCCCUGUGAGGAUGCUUAAUCACUCGAGGACGGUAUAAAGGUACAGAAGAACAGCGAGCCACAGGUAAGACCUGUGGGUCCCCACACCACCAGCUUCCCAUGCAGAAGCACACAGACCCUAACAACUCCCGGAAACAUUGUGGCAGCUCAGACCAAAGCCUGAUUCUUGCCUUUUCAACAGGAUGACUUUCUGUUAGUCAUCAUUUUCUUUCUCACAUGCAAUCUUCCUUCUAUUCCUUCCUUGUUUUCCUUGUUAUUUCAUAAUCCUCCCCCCUGAGGCUUUGAGAAUAUUAUUAUAAAAUGCAACACUUAGAAAGAGGGCAUAGAAUGUAUGUGUAUGGUUUAAAGAAGAAUAACAAAAUAAACAUGCUGUACCCAGCUUGAGAAAUAGAAUAUUCAGAUUAUAAUCUUCCCACUUUGAUUUGCAUCUCCCAGUAUCCCUCCUCCCAGAGGUAAUAACCACUAUUCUGAAUUUUGUGGGUUUAGCACUUUUUUAAAAUCACAUAUGAUAUCACAAAACGGUAUUUUGCCUUCUUGCAGAGGGUCUUGGUAUAAAUGGUAUAAAACUGUGUAUAUUCUUUUUCAUAGCCUUUUGUGACUGAUGCUGUUUUUCAAUAUUCUGCUUUUGAGAUUCUUUUUUUCUAAUACACGCAGCUGUCAUUCAUUCUUUCAGUACUGUUUAGUCCUUUGCAUACCACAAUUUACCCAUUCUCUUGUCAAUGGACAUUUGGGAUGUUCCUGAGUUUUGACUCUAAUGAACAGUAUCUUCAAGAAUAUUCUUUUAAAAACUUUUUUAUUUUAAAUUUUUGUGGGUAAAUAGAAGGUGCUUCAUGAGCAUUCUUCCCCAUGUCUGUGGACAACAUCUGCAACUACAGAUAUACCUAAAAUUAGAAUGCUG
rnacentral:lncRNA from 1 species